rnacentral:rRNA from 1 species
UACGUAGGGUGCAAGCGUUGUCCGGAAUCAUUGGGCGUAAAGAGCGUGUAGGCGGCUCGAUAAGUCUGCUGUGAAAGUCCAGGGCUCAACCCUGGAAGGCCGGUGGAAACUGUCGGGCUAGAGUCCGGAAGAGGCGAGUGGAAUUCCCGGUGUAGCGGUGAAAUGCGCAGAUAUCGGGAGGAACACCAAUGGCGAAGGCAGCGCGCUGGGACGGUACUGACGCUGAGACGCGAAAGCGUGGGGAGCAAACAGG